rnacentral:lncRNA from 1 species
CUUCAAACCUAGUGCAAAGAAAAAACAAAAACAAAAACAAAAACAAAAAAAAACAAAAAAAAAAAAAAACCAAAAAUACCAAGGAGGAUAUUGACCAAGAACUGAAAAAAAUAAUAAAGCAAAUUAUUUGCAUUGAUUAACAGGAUGUUUACCCACAGAGAUACACUAAGGUUACAAUUACAAUGUACAAACUUCUACACAAUAUCCUACAAUAAAUAUCUGUUUAAGUUAACAGAAAAAAAAAUGACUCAUACAUGAUAACUUCAUUGUCUUGUGAGAUUUGUGGUUUGAGACGGGGUCUCACUGGGUAACUACAGUCAUCUUUGAACUAAGCUUUCUUCUUACCUCACCUAAGCACUAGAAUUGCAGGUAUGUGCCUUACACUUGACUUGGAGUCAGUGACCAUCUCCAGGCUCCCCCAGUGGCCAGCCACUACUCAGAGGCCCAAAGAAGUUGGUAUACCAAACAGCAUGCAGUACCCAGCCGCCAUGUAACCCAAGGCAGUUCCCCAAGACCUACCCAAAUAAACCUAUGCAUGUUCAGUAACCACUCUUUCCUUUCCUUCAGCAUGAGGCACAAAGGCUGAUUCAGUUUUCUCUGGUGGUAGUAGACCCUCCCUGGUAGGAACAUCUAAGAAUUAGCUAAUGCAUCAAAAUUCAAGAAGCACCCAAAUGGAAAUAUGCUGACACCAUUGCAUACACUAGCAAGAUUUUGCUGAAAGGACCCAGAUAUAGCUGUCUCUUGUGAGACUAUGCCGGGGCCUAGCAAACACAGAAGUAGAUGAUCACAGUCAGCUAUUGGAUGGGUCACACAGCCCCCAAUGGAGGAGCUAGAGAAAUUACCCAAGGAGCUAAAGGGAACUGCAACCCUAUAGGUAGAACAACAAUAUGAACUAACCAGUACCCGGGAGCUCUUGUCUUUAGCUGCAUAUGUAUCAAAAGAUGGCCUAGUCAGCCAUCACUGCAAAGAGAGGCCCAUUGGACUUGCAAACUUUAUAUGCCCCAGUACAGGGGAACGCCAGGGCCAAAAAUGGGAAGUGGGUGGGUAGGGGAUUGGGGGGGUGGGUAUGGGGGAACCUUUGGGAUAGCAUUGAAAAUGUAAACGAGGAAAAUACCUAAUAAUAUAAAAAAUGUUUGUAUUCCCUUAGCAAUGUAAGAAAACAAAAUGUUCUGGUUUUUAUCAUUAAAAAAAUAAUAAUAAAAAUAAAAAAAUAAAAUGUUGAUGUUCAUUGGGGAAAAAAAAGGAAAUAGGAAGAGAGUGAGAGAGAAGUGAUACAAGCAGAAACAAAUCCCUUGGCUCUCCCAGAUGCCUCUCUGUACAUCAUAGAGACAUAGAAACCUCCAAACUGCUAUCCAAAGCCAUCUUAAGAAGCAUCUCAUCGUGAGACCACAAGCUUUAAACAGUGAAGAGAGCAAGGACACAAGGUCACCAUUACCUCACCCCUUCUCAUUAGCUGUAGAUACAUCAUCAAAGAUGGAAACCACCUAGACCAAACCCAGGAGAAAUUUGUAAAAGCUGACUCAGAAAGGCAUAAGGAUAACACAAAAUCCAGAUGCAAUAAAAAUAAAAGAGUAAUAAGAUUAACUGAUAUCUAAAAUUUCAAAAUAGUUAAACACAAAUUGGAUAAAAAUAAUCACAGCUC